rnacentral:pre_miRNA from 1 species
AUCCCUGAGACUGAUAAUUGCUCUUUUUAUCAUGAUAAGGGAGUUUGAUGAGAGCAAUUAUUACUCUCAGGUGUA